UAUCAUAAAAUGAAAGAACAUUAAACUUAAAAAAAUACAAACUGUUUAGAGAACAUACAUGAAACAAGUUAGUUCCUAUUUUCACUUACAUCAUGGGAGCUAUAAAUAACCUGUUUUUCUUCUUUUUUUUUUAAAGUCUUUUUCAAUUAACUCGAGAGGAAAAAUGAAAGGUUUUUCAUGCUACCAAAAAAUCUUAAAUGUCAAAUUUCUACCUACAACUUUAUCUCCUGCUGUUGCAAAGUACUGAAACUGGACACUCCUUCCAUAAACGUUGACUAAACAUCUGUAAUGUUGCCACUCUAAGGAGCGAAGUUUGGUAGCAACAUUCUCAACAAGGGGAGCGACUUCCAUCACAAGGCCAGAGGGGGGAGCGACAUUCUCCACAAAGCAAGAGAGGGUUGAGGCAUCCUCUGAAUAGCAAGAGAUAAUAGUAGUAAUACAUUUUAAAUGAAUAAAUAAUUAAUCAUGAUAAUUUAAUAAGUAAUAAUAAUAAUUGCUUACAUUUAUAUAGCACUUUUCUAGGCACUGCAAGUUCUUUACAUAGUAUGCAGGAAUCUUCUCAGUAAUCACCAGUGUGUAGCAUCCACCUGGAUGAUGCAACGGCAGGCAUAGUGUGCCAGAACGCCCACCACACACCAGCUAUUAGUGGAGAGGAGAGUGAUGUAGCCAAUUCAGGGAUGGAGAUUAGUAGGGGGCCAUGAUAGAUAAGGGCCAGUGGGGGAAUGUGGGAUUUUUAAUGACCACAGAGAAUCAGGACCUCGGUUUAACGUCUCAUCCAUCACUAUACUGGUGCUUAUAAAGUACACUGCUAAGCAGAGAGGAGGAGCGAUGUCCGCAGUGAGCAGGGAAGCAGAGAGAUGUCCUCAGUGGAGUAGGAAGGAGGAAUGACAUCCGAAGUGGAGUAAGGCAUAGUGACGUCCGAGGCGGUGCAGGGAGAUGGAGUGACAUCCAUAGCAAGACUGUGUUCUGUAGUGGUGUUUACUGCGGGACAGGGAGGCAGAGCGACGUCCUCAGCGGAGCAAUGUCCUGUAACAGCCCUUAAAUAAGGUGGAGGCAGUUGUCAGUAAAUACAGAGAAGCAGCUCUCUGUCCCGCUCCGGUGGAGGGCCAGGGCUGGUGUGGCCUGACCCUUACAUUCUCCUUACAGGAAACUUCACCAUAUCAACAAUUCCACAAAUGUAUCAAUCCAUUUAUAAGUGGCUGUGAAUUAGCACUUAUUAUUGAGACAAUAACAUUUUACAGUAACAAUAUGCCACUGUCUUUACCUAUUUAUAGUUACGUUUAAUACUGUGGACCCUCUACAAAUGAAGUUAGGUUAUAGAAAAAAAAAACACUUGUUUCCUCGCCAGAGUCUGUUUUCCCAACUACAAUUAUCUUGGUAAGUGUUCAGGGUUUAGCUAGAGCAGAAAAUAAAGGAAACCAAGCAUGAACAUUGUUUGAGUAUUCAAGAAUUUAAUUUAGAUUUUGUAGGAAUCCCUCAAGUCAUCGUCAUGACCAAGGUGGAUAAAGCCUGUGAGACGGUUAGCCAGGAUUUAAAUAAAAUAUACUACAGCAAGAAGAUCAAAGAGAAGGUGGAUAAAUGCAAUGAUAACAUGGGCAUCCCAUUAAACGCCAUCUACCCUGUGAAGAAUUACUCUGAAUCCAUCAUCCAAGAUCUAGCAAUCGACAUGCUCCUCCUCACGGCAUUGAGAGAUAUUCUAAAUUUUGCCAAUGACUAUGUGGAACGUGAGUUGGAAAAAGAUGAGUAAUGAGAGAUAUAAAAAUAUACAUUGAAAUGUGGAUUGAGGUCAACCUUAGUUUAGGUGUGUGCUGUACUUUAUUCUUUAACUUCUCCCUUCUUCAUACUCAUCUCGUUUGCAUCAUUCAAGUUGAUCAAGUUGUACAAGUUGAUCUUCAUCUGAUCUGUUCGUAGUAUGUUGUUCUAGAUGUGUUUUUAAAAAGGUUUUUGGCAAACCAGUGCUCAACAUCUUGUGGUAAAACCUCUGUAUUUAGUCUGGUGAAGUCUUCUCUUGAUUGUUGACUUUGACACAGAUAUGCCUACAUCCUUGAGGAUAUUCUUGAUCUGGCCAACUGUUGUGAAGGAGUUUGUCUCCUUCACAAGGAGGGAAACUCCUUCUUUUAGCAGGGGAAGAAUUCUUCUGUUAUCCACCACAGUUGUUUUCCAUGGUCUUUUGUGUUCCUGAGCUCACCAGUGCAUUCUUUAUUUUUAAGAAACUACCAAGUAAUUGAUUUGGCCACACCUACUGUUUCUGCUAUCUCUCUGUUGGGUUUGUUUUCAUUGUUUGUUUCAGCCUAAUGAUGUUAUAUUUCACUGCCAGUGACAACAUUUUGGACUUCCCAUUGAGAGCUAACAGCAACAGAUUCCAAAUGCGAAUGCCACACUUGAAAGCAACAGUGUACUGUAUUUAACAGCAAUUUGCAGUUAUUACAAUUUCUUAUGAAUAAAAACCCAACAUCAUAAUUUAUCCAUUUGUAGUUAUGUUGAAUUGUUUAAUCGUGAGAUGUCCACAAAACAAGUUAUCAUUCACAUUAUAGCAGUUGUAAACACUUGUUCCCAUAUUGGCCUCUCUUUUAAUCUAAAUAAAUAACACAUUUAAAAUGGGUUUGUUGUAUAAAUAUGUAACUACCAGUGAUACUGUAUCUUGAUAAUUUAAUAUAUGUAAACCUUUUUUCAGAAUCACGAACACGCAGAUAUGUGGAAAUGCUGACAAGAUCAAGCACAAUAAAGUUGAAAUAUACAGCACAUAUAGUCGAGGUACACGGAACAUAUAUAGAUAGGAUAUAUAGAUAGUAUAUAUAGAUAUAUAGAUAAGAUGAUAGGAUACUGAAUACUGGUCAUAAUAAGGUAUUUGGACACUUAAGAUUAACCUGGUUGACACAGUUAAUCCAUAGUUAAUUUAAUGAACUAUUGCACACAUUGUGGUUACCCUGCCAGGGGACCUGAAUGAAAUUGAAGGUAACUGACUACAUAUAGCCACUAUAAAUAACAUUGGGACCAGCAGGUUAAAAGGAAUUGCAAAAAUGACUAAGAAGAAGAAAGUAAGUUUUGCGAAAGUUUCUAGCAUCAUUUGUGUGCACAAAGAAAGCCUCUCUAUUUGG